UUCAACCUGGGAUUCUCUGGCAAGUUUUUUCAUACAGGUACAGAUGAGGAAGAUGAGGGUGAUGACACCCUGCUUCGACAACGGCAGGAGUUCUGGUGGUUCCCGCAUAUGUGGAGUCACAUGCAGCCUCAUCUCUUCCACAACGUCAGCGUACUCGCAGAACAGAUGAGACUUAAUAGACAGUUUGCACAGGAGCAUGGGAUCCCCACAGACAUGGGUUACG